rnacentral:rRNA from 1 species
GAAGGCUGAAAUUCGCCUUCAUGAAGCUGGAAUUGCUAGUAAUGGCAGGUCAGCAUACUGCCGUGAAUACGUUCCCGGGCCUUGUACACACCGCCCGUCACACCAUGAGAGUUGGGAAUACCCGAAGCCUGUGAGCUAACUUAUAGAGGCAGCAGUCGAAGGUAGAAUCAAUGAUUGGGGUGAAGUCGUAACAAGGUAGC